AUCAUUCAUUCAUUACUAUGGGUGCCUAAAUUUCAUAAUGGUCAUUGUGACUGAAAACACUGACUAGCAAGUACUACAUGUAGGACAUCUACAGAUUAUAUUGGUUUCACAUCCAUCACGGUUUAGAUUUUGGGUCAUUAUCAAAUAAUCAGAAGGGCCGAACCUACUAAAAGUAACCUACAUCUAAUAUGGAACAGGACAUUCAAGGACGUCCUCUUUUGAAUGAAAGACUUGAAGAGUUGACAACAUUUUACGGACACAGCGCUACUUAUAAAAACGAAAAAGAAGACGGAG